AUUGAACGCUGGCGGCAGGCCUAACACAUGCAAGUCGAGCGGAUGAAGGGAGCUUGCUCCUGGAUUCAGCGGCGGACGGGUGAGUAAUGCCUAGGAAUCUUCCUGGUGGUGGGGGAUAACGUCCGGAAACGGGCGCUAAUACCGCAUACGUCCUGAGGGGGAAAGUGGGGGAUCUUCGGACCUCACGCUAUCAGAUGAGCCUAGGUCGGAUUAGCUAGUUGGUGGGGUAAAGGCCUACCAAGGCGACGAUCCGUAACUGGUCUGAGAGGAUGAUCAGUCACACUGGAACUGAGACACGGUCCAGACUCCUACGGGAGGCAGCAGUGGGGAAUAUUGGACAAUGGGCGAAAGCCUGAUCCAGCCAUGCCGCGUGUGUGAAGAAGGUCUUCGGAUUGUAAAGCACUUUAAGUUGGGGGGAAGGGCAGUAAGUUAAUACCUUGCUGUUUUGACGUUACCAACAGAAUAAGCACCGGCUAACUUCGUG
rnacentral:rRNA from 1 species